AUGGUGCUUAGAAAAAAACUUUGUGUUCAGGACACACUUUUCUAUUACAGGUCACAUAUUUUUAUUCAUGAAAUGUGUAGAUAUGCAAAAAAUACAGUUAUAGAAAAGUUUAUGAAUAUGUGUUCAGCUGUAACUUUUGAAAGAGAAAAUGCGUGUUUCAAUAAAACGAUUACAUGUAAAAUUAUACUGCAGUAUUUUUUAAAUGCAUCAAAACACAUCCAUACGUGAUCUAUGAAUAUACUGCAGUAUAUUGAAAAAUAUAAGCGCUGCUUUCCCAUAUAUAGAAAUGUAUUGUUUAAUAAACUGCAUUAUAUUUUCCAUAACAUUCCCAUAUAUUUUUCUUUCAUAUGGGCACACUGUCCACUUUUUAAUACUUAUUUGGAUUCAGUGUAUUGUGGAGGAGGGUCUGCAGGAUGAUGAAAGAAAGAGCUGCUGGCCACAGGGAUCUGCAUGAAAACAAAGAGAGAUAUGAUCAGUUUAUUGAUUGCUUUUUAUUGAUAAUAUUACCUAACAAUUAUUGCACCCAUUACUGAACGCCUUACUUAUUUCCAGUGCAUGGAUACUCAACCCUAAAUUCAAAUAAUACAUUUUUCUUUACUAAUUUUACUCAAACUGCAACUGAACUGGGGUUACAAGUUUCUCUUACCUCUGAGCUGUUGAGAUCGUGGAAAUGAUUGGGCCUGAAAUCACAGGGCUGUGGUGGCAGAACUUGAGCAAACUGCACCUUUGGGGGAAAAAAUGCAUGCUUUAUGUCUUCUUACCAGAUGCCAGAAAUACAUCAGUAUUACAGGGUUAUAAACCUUAUUGAACUUCAAAUGGAAUAAGAAAAAGCAAAAGACAGAAAUGUUUCUGACAUGUGUUUUGGAAUCAGGAAUGCGUAAGAAAAGAGUUCUGCAAGAAAGUGUUUUAACGUCAAAAACCUGACUAAUGUCUUCAAAUAAAAUAUGAUUAAGUAGGGAAUGUUUGACUCUUCUGCUUUAAAACUACAAUGUACUGAAGCUUCUCAGUCAAAAUGUUGUACACGAAACAAAUUUUAUUUUAAACAUGGUUGUUAGGGCUCUCGUGUGGGAGAUAGGCGCACGGAGAUGAUUCAAAUAGCGUUAAAUAAUAGUUCAAGGAGAAAAGAGAGAUCCAAGAACACACAGGCAGCAGCAUACAUCACUAACUGGCCAGGAAGAACUGAAAGAGAGCAACUUAAAUACACAGACCAAAUGAGGAUAAUUAUCAAACACAGGUGAACAGAAUGAACUAAUCAAGGGAACUAAGGAAAAGUAUCGUGGAAAUGAUUGGGCCUGAAAUCACAGGGCUGUGGUGGCAGAACUUGAGCAAACUGCACCUUUGGGGGAAAAAAUGCAUGCUUUAUGUCUUCUUACCAGAUGCCAGAAAUACAUCAGUAUUACAGGGUUAUAAACCUUAUUGAACUUCAAAUGGAAUAAAAGAAAAGACAAAAGACAAGAAUUGUUUCUGACAUGUUAACGUCAAAAACCUGACUAAUGUCUUCAAAUAAAAUAUGAUUAAGUAGGGAAUGUUUGACUCUUCUGCUUUAAAACUACAAUGUACUGAAGCUUCUCAGUCAAAAUGUUGUACACGAAACAAAUUUUAUUUUAAACAUGGUUGUUAGGGCUCUCGUGUGGGAGAUAGGCGCACGGAGAUGAUUCAAAUAGCGUUAAAUAAUAGUUCAAGGAGAAAAGAGAGAUCCAAGAACACACAGGCAGCAGCAUACAUCACUAACUGGCCAGGAAGAACUGAAAGAGAGCAACUUAAAUACACAGACCAAAUGAGGAUAAUUAUCAAACACAGGUGAACAGAAUGAACUAAUCAAGGGAACUAAGGAAAAGUAGGGCAAGAAACAAAACAGGAGAACAAAUAGUGUGACAGUGGUUUACUUUCCAAUCAAUAGCCUACAUUUACGACCACAUAGUAAAAUAAGGAAUUGAAUUAAAAUGCUGCUUCUAGCCCCUCGAGGUAUCAUGGGCUUCAUGGGACGAAACAUCAAGGAAUGGCAUGUUUGAUAACCUGCAAAAUAGGGUCACGAUUUCUCGAUUCAAAUCAAGAACUCAAUUUUAAAAAAUCCUCGAUUACAUUUUACCCGUGUCGAAUAAUAAUGAACUUAGCAUAAUGCUAUUUUAAAUUCAUAAAUGCUACGAUUUAAUUAAAUAUAUGCGAUGCAGGUUUAAUAUAUGCGCUUUAAUUAUUUACAUGCAUGUAGGUUAGUAACAUGCAUCUCAGAGCAGCUCCAUUCACAGUAAAUGCUGCUCCACACAAACUGUUAUCAUUCACAUUUGUGGAGCGUCUCACACUCCAUCUCUGCAUAUUGUUAUGAGUUCGGGUUUAUUACAACAUUCAUCUGGGAACGCAACGUGCGCCAUUUCAUCAGAUUUGUAAGGUAAAUCAUUUCUAAACCUACGCAAACACAGGAGAAAACAUCAGUAUCCUUCUUAAUAUGCGAACUGUUCAUCCGAUUUCAAAAUAAAAGUUUAAACCCUUUCUGUCGUAAAGAAAUGGCCAAAUAUUACAGAUUAAGUGGAUAUUGGAAGUAAAUGUUGUUUAGUCAAUAAUAAACAAGGAUUAGAUUGUGCAGUAAAAUGUAAAAACAAUCGUCAGGCCGUCUGCGCCUCUGCAGUCAUUCGUUAUAAUGCGUAACAUUAGUUCUAUUGUUUAUAAUACAUUACUUUUACCAGUUUUAGUAAAAAAAAAAAGAAACAUUUAGAUUACUUGCUUUUGAUACUUUAUUUGAACUAAUUAUUAUUUUUCAUUGCUAUUAUAUAUGUAUUUUAAGUAAUUUUAUUAAUAAUUAACAUUAGUAAUAUUAAUUGUUCGCUUAGGUUGAUUUUUUAUUACAGCAAAAAAUAUCUGUAUUGGGUAACACUUUAUAAUAACGUUCUGUUAUAAGUCAUUUAUAAAUUAUUAGUUAAUGAUGAGCUAAUCAUUUACAAAAC
rnacentral:lncRNA from 1 species